GGAGUCCGGGAGGGGUCGCUUUGCUCCUCCGGAAGGCUUCCCCUUCAGCCAAUCACCGUUCGAGGCCCGCCCCCGUCGCCGGAAGGAGCCGUCGCCCCGAGCAACUACAACGUCCGGCUUUCUGAGUUGGGUGGCGGGAAAGGCGAUGAGUAAAGGCCGGGCAGAAGCUGCGGCGGGAGCCGCCGGGAUCCUCCUGAGGUACCUGCAGGAGCAGAACCGGCCCUACAGCUCCCAGGAUGUGUUCGGGAACCUACAGCGGGAACACGGACUGGGCAAGGCGGUGGUGGUGAAGACGCUGGAGCAGCUGGCGCAACAAGGCAAGAUCAAAGAGAAGAUGUACGGCAAGCAGAAGAUCUAUUUUGCGGAUCAGGACCAGUUUGACAUGGUGAGUGAUGCUGACCUUCAAGUCCUAGAUGGCAAAAUCGUGGCCCUCACUGCUAAGGUGCAGAGCUUGCAGCAGAGCUGCCGCUACAUGGAGGCUGGUAGGACUGGGUAGCCCCUCCAAAGUGCCCAUAGGCUUAGGUUCAUUCUAGAGGUCAGGAAUUACUAAAUGAAUGGUUCAAUGACUGCAGCAUCUUGUUGCAGCUAAGACCCCUUUGCUGGGCUCCCUUAGGCAUAAAAAGAAAUGUAGGAUAACUAACGGCUUUUGUGUACCAACAAAUGGACAAGAUACGCAUUUGUUCUCCCUGCCACGAUUAUCAGUACACUGUCCCCACGUUUCCCUUUAUUCCUGCUUCUUUAACUGGCUACGCCUAAGUAAGUAGCUCAAGGAAUUAUCUAGUGCCCUGACCACACCAGAGAUGCAGAAAGAAAUCCAGGAGUUAAAGAAGGAAUGCGCUGGCUACAGAGAGAGAUUGAAGAACAUUAAAGCAGCUACCAAUCAUGUGACUCCAGAAGAGAAAGAGCAGGUGUACAGAGAGAGGCAGAAGUACUGUAAGGAGUGGAGGAAGAGGAAGAGGAUGGCUACAGAGCUGUCUGAUGCAAUACUUGAAGGAUACCCCAAGAGCAAGAAGCAGUUCUUUGAGGAAGUUGGGAUAGAGACGGAUGAAGAUUACAACGUCACACUCCCAGACCCCUGAGGGGCCCACGGUCAGGACUGGUGGGGACUGCAGGAUGUCAGAAGAGUGAGAUGUCUUGCACUGGCUACCUUGUUUUUGGUUGGCUUUUGUUGUUGUUCCUGCUACUUUCACCUUUAAGCAGAGCAGUCAGGAGACAAGCAUAAACCAGAGCACUGGGUAGAGAGGAUGAGGGCUGGUGGCUGGGGGUAGACCCAGCCCAUUUCAUUGUCUAAAUUGCAGUAGCUUGAGGUUAACAUUUAGACUUGGAACAAUGCUAAAGGAAAGCAUUUGGCAAUAUUUAUUAUAAUUUAAUUUUAUAUAAAAAUAUUUAAUUUCCUCUGGAUAGUCAAACCUGCCAGAUAUCAAACCUGAGGAAGGCAGAAGUGAAUUUGGAGAACUAGGGUAGAGAGAGGUUGCUAUAAAACGAGCAUUUGGAGGGCCCACGGCUUCACUCAGGACCUGCUGGGCUUGUGUACCCCAGGAGCCCUUUUAAGUAUCUUUUGUACGCUUUUCACCCCACCCCCAAGUCCUGGGAGAAAUGCAGGCAACACUGAGACAUGGGAGAGGCCAAGAUAUGCUUGACAGAAAGGGUGAUUUUGAGGCUCAGUUAAUAUUUCAAAAUUGUAACCGUAGCAAAACUGCAUUGGUAUUUAGAAAAAUAAAAAAUUUCCAAUAUGUA